GAACGCCCUUAGUAAUAAGGGAGUGGCGGACGGGUGAGGAACACGUGGAUACCUACCUUUGAGUGAGGAAUACCGGCGAGAAAUCGCCGACAAUACCGCAUACCCUUGGCAACAAGGAAAGUCCGCAAGGACGCUCGAAGCUGGGUCUGCGCCUGAUUAGUUAGUUGGUGGGGUAAAGGCCUACCAAGACGACGAUCAGUAGCUGGUCUGAGAGGACGAUCAGCCACACUGGGAUUGAGAACGGCCCAGACUCCUACGGGGGGCAGCAGUGAGGAAUUUUCGGCAAUGGGCGCAAGCCUGACCGAGCAACGCCGCGUGCAGGAUGACGGCCUUCGGGUUGUAAACUGCUUUUCUCUGGGACGAGCAAGGACGGUACCAGAGGAACAAGCCCCGGCUAACUACGUG
rnacentral:rRNA from 1 species